AUUCUGUGAGCUGAGCCUAGGGAAGCUACUGAAGCUGAAUACUGAGAGUCUCUGCAACUUCCAGGGGAAACAAACUGUGAAAAAAUAGAAAUUUCCCAAUGUUAAGUUUUUCCCUCUAUCAUUUUCAUAGGAAUGGGAAGUUUGGGGGGAGGCUGUGCACUGGAAAAGGGUGCUUUUCCAGAGAAAAAGUGAGAGAGAGUGCAUGGAGUAGUAUACAUAGAAAAACAGUGGCAAACAUUAAUUGAGUGAUUACUAUGUGGGGAUUCUGUGCUAAGCCUUUAAUCCUCACAAAGCCUGUAUUAUUAUUCUUCUCGUUUUGCAGGUGAAGAAACUGAGACAAAGAGUGUUCAGGAGGAUUAUUUCCACUGAGCCAUCUGGGAAACCCCAGGAAUAAUGAGUAGUCAAUUCCUGAAUACUGCAGGAAAUCUGAAGACAACAUCACAGACUCUUUCGUGGAAACCUUCCAGCUUUCUACCCUUGGAUCAUGGCAAAGAAGAUGGGACCCAAGCUUGCACCAGCAGUGAAAGCCAAGAAGCUUUAAAUGUAUCAGCUGGGGUAUUAAAUGUAGGGAAAUAUUGUUCCAUUUCACAGUACAAUUGCUGAAAUUUUUUUAUUGAAGUAUAGUUAAUUUACAAUGUUAUGUUAGUUUCAAGUGUACAGCAAACUGAUUCAGUUAUAUAUGUGCAUCUUUUUUAGAUUCUUUUUUGUUAUAGGUUAUUACAAGGUAUUGAGUAUAGUUCUCUGCUAUAUAGUAAGUCCUUAUUGCUUACCUAUUUUAUACAUAUUAGUGUGUAUGCAUGCAUUAGUGUAUAUAUGUUAAUCCAAAACUCCUGGUUUGUUCCCCCUCCUUGCUAUCCCCUUUGUUAACCAUAAGUUUGUUUUCUAUGUCUGUGAGUCUGUUUCUGUUUUGUAAGUUCAUUUGUAUUAGUUUUUUAGAUUCCACAUGUAAGCGACGGGCUUCCUUGGUGGCUCAGAAAGUAAAGAAUCUGCCUGAUAUAUUUGUCUUUCUCUGACUUAAUAUAACAAUCUCUGGAUAUAUC